rnacentral:rRNA from 1 species
AGUUUGAUCCUGGCUCAGGAUGAACGCUAGCUACAGGCUUAACACAUGCAAGUCGAGGGGCAGCAUGGUCUUAGCUUGCUAAGGCCGAUGGCGACCGGCGCACGGGUGAGUAACACGUAUCCAACCUGCCGUCUACUCUUGGACAGCCUUCUGAAAGGAAGAUUAAUACAAGAUGGCAUCAUGAGUCCGCAUGUUCACAUGAUUAAAGGUAUUCCGGUAGACGAUGGGGAUGCGUUCCAUUAGAUAGUAGGCGGGGUAACGGCCCACCUAGUCUUCGAUGGAUAGGGGUUCUGAGAGGAAGGUCCCCCACAUUGGAACUGAGACACGGUCCAAACUCCUACGGGAGGCAGCAGUGAGGAAUAUUGGUCAAUGGGCGAGAGCCUGAACCAGCCAAGUAGCGUGAAGGAUGACUGCCCUAUGGGUUGUAAACUUCUUUUAUAAAGGAAUAAAGUCGGGUAUGCAUACCCGUUUGCAUGUACUUUAUGAAUAAGGAUCGGCUAACUCCGUGCCAGCAGCCGCGGUAAUACGGAGGAUCCGAGCGUUAUCCGGAUUUAUUGGGUUUAAAGGGAGCGUAGAUGGAUGUUUAAGUCAGUUGUGAAAGUUUGCGGCUCAACCGUAAAAUUGCAGUUGAUACUGGAUAUCUUGAGUGCAGUUGAGGCAGGCGGAAUUCGUGGUGUAGCGGUGAAAUGCUUAGAUAUCACGAAGAACUCCGAUUGCGAAGGCAGCCUGCUAAGCUGCAACUGACAUUGAGGCUCGAAAGUGUGGGUAUCAAACAGGAUUAGAUACCCUGGUAGUCCACACGGUAAACGAUGAAUACUCGCUGUUUGCGAUAUACUGCAAGCGGCCAAGCGAAAGCGUUAAGUAUUCCACCUGGGGAGUACGCCGGCAACGGUGAAACUCAAAGGAAUUGACGGGGGCCCGCACAAGCGGAGGAACAUGUGGUUUAAUUCGAUGAUACGCGAGGAACCUUACCCGGGCUUAAAUUGCAGAUGAAUUACGGUGAAAGCCGUAAGCCGCAAGGCAUCUGUGAAGGUGCUGCAUGGUUGUCGUCAGCUCGUGCCGUGAGGUGUCGGCUUAAGUGCCAUAACGAGCGCAACCCUUGUUGUCAGUUACUAACAGGUUCCGCUGAGGACUCUGACAAGACUGCCAUCGUAAGAUGUGAGGAAGGUGGGGAUGACGUCAAAUCAGCACGGCCCUUACGUCCGGGGCUACACACGUGUUACAAUGGGGGGUACAGAGGGCCGCUACCACGCGAGUGGAUGCCAAUCCCCAAAACCUCUCUCAGUUCGGACUGGAGUCUGCAACCCGACUCCACGAAGCUGGAUUCGCUAGUAAUCGCGCAUCAGCCACGGCGCGGUGAAUACGUUCCCGGGCCUUGUACACACCGCCCGUCAAGCCAUGGGAGCCGGGGGUACCUGAAGUGCGUAACCGCGAGGAGCGCCCUAGGGUAAAACUGGUGACUGGGGCUAAGUCGUAACAAGGUACCC